UGGCUUCUAUGAAGCGCUUUCUAUAUCCAGAUACCAGCUUACUGUCAUUGUAUACGGCAUGAAACUCUUUCAUUAUCGCAAAUGUUGCAUUUCUUAUAUUGUUAACCUCAGGUUAUAUCAUAAAACAGAGUAUGAAGCUCUGUCUUUUAUCUUUAAUCUUGCAUUCUUCGAAAGAACCUUGGCGGAGAGAACUCCAUCAUUUUUAUUUUAUCUCAGCCUCCUCUGCAUUCUGUUUUAAGCCGAUCAUAUGCUCUUCUACCAUAGACUGUCGUAACAUUAGUAAAGUACUUUUUCUUUCAUCUAAAGAAUUUGAAAUAGAGGUAGUUGAGAUGACUGAUUUGUGUAGUUUUCAAAUUGUACGAAAAUCUGACCCUCUAUGUCGAAUGAGAUGAAUGGAAAGUGCGAGGGGCCUUUUUUUUGUAUGAUUUGUCAAUUGCACUGAAUUGACUACUUAGCAAGUUCUUGUAGGUAGUCCAUAAGAGAGGCGAGUAAGCUAUGAAUUGUGAGUAGCCUUGUUUCUUUUACGUACUUUAGUUGAAUUUGAAGUGAAUAUAAUUUGCUUCUGUAUUUAUUGCUCAGUUAAAAAGAUAAAUCUAACUUAAUCUAAUUUUUUCUUUUUUUUAAAGUCAGUGUUCAGUUGGAUACUCCUGUAAGUAUGUUCACGUAACGCGAAGACUAUCAACUUUCAGAUUUUUCUAGAUGCCAAUAUUUUGUGGUUAAAGCUUCCAGCUCAUCAUUCAUGUUCUGUAAAUGCAACACAAUUGUUUAUAUAUGCAUAAUAGGCAGCUGCACUAUUCUCAUGUCUCACUCUAGAAGAAUAUUAUUAGAUUUACAUUUUUUUCUGAAUGGUAAGUGGAGAGUGCACUCAGCACCGAAGCUUUUUCUAACUUUAGGUACUUUAAUCAAUCAUUUUGAAAGUCUGUUUCUUUUGCUAUAAAACGCUUUUUUGAGCAUCCUUUUUUUCCUAAAUUGUGCCUAAGAAUCUAGUUUUCCAUUAUUGUAUGCCACUGAAAUGCUGUCUGCUUAAUUUUUCUAAUCAUACACUCAGCCAUAUUAGAAGGAUGCCAUUUCCUUCUUCCCUUAUCACUGAUUGUUGAGGGCAGAUUGGAAGAAAACAAAUGUAUCUCUAUAGUGCUUUGACCACUGCAAAUAAUGGAUUUCAAUGAAUUUUUGUACAGACAUCAUUUCUAUUUGAUAGCUAAGUUUAAGUGCACAUAGUUACAGAUUAUCUUCAAUUUUGUAAUUUUAAUUGCAUAAGUAGUUGUAUGUAAUUAGAAUACCAUAUUUAUAGUAAAAAAUAAAGAAAAAUUGUUGAGUACCUUACUUCGCUAUUCUUGUCAUUUUCGAACCUUUCCUAAUUUUAAUCUCUUUAGAUUUACUUAUAAAUAUUGAGUCAGUUAUCCUAAUUCAAAGUUUAAAGAAGAAAUCAUUUGACGUUCAGGUUAUUAAAAAUUA
rnacentral:lncRNA from 1 species